rnacentral:rRNA from 1 species
AACGAACGCUGGCGGCAGGCCUAACACAUGCAAGUCGAGCGCCCCGCAAGGGGAGCGGCGGACGGGUGAGUAACACGUGGGAAUUUUCCUCAAGGUACGGAACAACUCAGGGAAACUUGGGCUAAUACCGUAUGAUGUCUAGCGACCAAAGAUUUAUCGCCUUGGGAUAAGCCCGCGUCAGAUUAGGUAGUUGGUGAGGUAACGGCUCACCAAGCCUGUGAUCUGUAGCUGGUCUGAGAGGACGAUCAGCCACAUUGGGACUGAGACACGGCCCAAACUCCUACGGGAGGCAGCAGUGGGGAAUCUUGCGCAAUGGGCGAAAGCCUGACGCAGCCAUGCCGCGUGAAUGAUGAAGGUCUUAGGAUUGUAAAAUUCUUUCACCGGGGACGAUAAUGACGGUACCCGGAGAAGAAGCCCCGGCUAACUUCGUGCCAGCAGCCGCGGUAACAC